rnacentral:rRNA from 1 species
GACAGAGGGUGCGAACGUUUGUUCGGAAUUACUGGGCGUAAAGCGCGUGUAGGCGGCAGCGUGUGUCGGGCGUGAAAUCCCACGGCUCAACCGUGGAAGUGCACUCGAAACUGCGCAGCUAGAGUCCUGGAGAGGAAGGUGGAAUGCUUGGUGUAGAGGUGAAAUUCGUAGAUAUCAAGCGGAACACCGGUGGCGAAGGCGGCCUUCUGGACAGUGACUGACGCUGAGACGCGAAAGCGUGGGGAGCAAACAGGG